UUAGCCAGGCGUGGUGGCGCAUGUCUGUAAUCCUAGCUACCCCGGAGGCUGAGGCAUGAGAAUCACUUGAACCUGGGAGGCGGAGGUUGCAAGCCAAGAUCACACCACUGCACCCCAGCCUGGGUGACAGAGUGAGACUCCGUUUCCAGACAAAAACAAAAACAAAAAACAAAAAUUAGCUGGGCGUGGUGGCACAUGCUUGUAAUCCCAGCUAGUAGGGAGGCUAAGGCACACGAAUUGCUUGAGCCUGGGAGGUGGAGGUUGCAGUGAGCCGAGAUCGCACCACUGCACUCCAGCCUGGGCGACAGAGAAAGACUGUUUUAAAAAACAAAAACGAAACAAAACAAACCUAACCAAAAACAAAUCCACAAACAAGCCAGAACUUGGGGUGCCAGGUGUAGGGAAGGGGGCUGUGUCAGGGCCACGCAUGGCUUUUGCCCUUGGGGGUUAAUGGAAGGAGUCUUUUCACAGAGGGAGGAGCAUGUGCCAAGGCCCUGGGGCAGGGAAGUCUGCUGGUGUGAGCAGAGCAGGAGGUGCAGAGAGGAGGGGUGAGGCUCAGAGGGAACAAGGGCUGCGUUGGCUCUGGGAGGGUCUUGCAUUUUCUGAGUGAGAUGGGACCUUGGGAGGUUCUGAGUGGAGUGUGAUCUGCCUCAGCUCAGCUGCUACGUGAAGACGGGGCUGUGCGGGGCAGGAGGGACAGGCUCACCACCAGCGGAGAAGGCAGGGGGCUCUGCUUCUGCAGGGGAGCCUGGCCAAGGUUCGCUCUCAGCCCCCAUCUGGCUGCCCCAGGAGUCUCCCUGGUCUCUCUCUGGGAGGCCUGGGCCCCUGGGAGCUGCUGCCUCAGGGAACCCUGGUUUUGCUGCCCUGUGAGUCAGGUCUCCAGGCUUCACCCAUAGCCCCGACCCCACGGCUGCCUGGGGCCUCUGGGGAGGGGGAGGGUGGAGUGGCCGCCAGGCUGGCGGGCUGGCAGGGCAGCAUUUCUGGGAAUUGUGUGGGGGAAGUGCAUUGUUAGAGCAAGCCUGGAGCAGGCCGCCAGGGCCGCCACUGGCCUCUGGGGAUGCCUCUUGCCUCCCCCAGCGUUGCUUCUGUGUGAGGGAGCUGGGACUGGGCCAAGGCUAUGGGCUGGGCUGGGGACUUUCCGAGAGACGCUGCCCUGGGCAGGUGGCUCUUCCCAUUCUACAGACUGGGCGACUGAGGUCCAGAGAGCCGGGUGCUGCAGUGGCAUAGCCAGGAGCAGUGGGCCCAGUCCCCAUCCCCUGCCCUCAUCUGCUGGUGCAUGGGACAGGGGAGCACUUGCUGGACCUAAGCCCCGUCGCUGCCCUGCCGGUGGGCGUCCAAGGGAGGCCUGAGUGGGGUCCACUGGGGUCACAGCUCGGCAGAGCCCCCAAGGUGGACUGGAGGGUCUGAUGGAAAGGGGCGCAGAGACGGCGCCUAGGUGCUUGGGCUGUGGGAGGGCUGCCCAUGGGGUGGCAGGGGGUGGGGGCUCCUGGGGCUGCAGGAUCCCCCAGCCCCCGCUCUGUGGUUGCAGGAAGCAAGGGGGGCUCCGUGUGAGUUUGGCAGCAGGAGCCUUCCCACCGCGGUGCAGCCUCAGCCAGAGGGGAAGCAUGGAUAGCGGCCACUGGGGUCAUGGCCGGCUUUGGGCGGGCAGGGGGCAGGGGACACAAAUAGAAAAAUAAAUGGCCUGAGUUUCCGACGUUUCCUGGACUCAGGAUGGGGGAGGGGCAGGCCUUUGGGCCAAAGGUGCGGCCAGCCCUGUGGGGUAGACUGGGGGUUUCUCCCCAGAUGCCUGUUGGGGCCAGGGCUGCCCCCUCACACCUCCAAGGUGGGUCACAUCUCCCCCUUAGAGCCCUCAGGACAGGGCCCUGUUGCCCACAGAGAAUUCCUAAAGGCCUAUCCAUAUGUCCCUGUCCAUAAAGACAUCGAGUGUGGAGGACACCCUGGAGGAGGAGACGGAACCCUCCUGUUUGCUGGGGCUCGGCCCCCGCUGAGGCUGGCCGCAGGUGACCACAGAGACCUAGCCUGGUGUCGUGCGGCCGCUGGGUCUGUGAAGGGGAGUGAGGCACUCCUCACCCCGUGGCAGCCCCUAAUCAGGAGGCCUCUCCCCUCCACCUGCACGUCGUGUGGCUGUGGCUCCCAGGACGAGACAGGCCCAGCGCCUGGAGUGGGUGAGUGAAUGUCUCUCUCCUCCGUGGGCACUGCCUCCGCUGUGAGCCACCCUUCAGGCUACGUGCAUUUCCGACUGUUCUCAGGGUUUAACCGAAACCGAACAUUAACUGUAGCCCUAACGCGGCUGAGUGGGACCCAGGCCUUGCCCUCCGGGCUGUGUGAGAGACAGACACUCGCUAACCAGUCUGCGGUGGCUCCCCGUGUGUGCGAGGCUCCCGCCUGUGUGUGUGCGUGUGCGUGCGCCUGCACACGGGGGAGGGAAAUUCUUCAGCUGCCGAGGGGGGGAGUAGGGGCCGGAGCAGCACCCUGCGGGGAGGCCCCACAGGAGAAUCAACAGUUCUGAUGUUGUCAGCCUCUGGGUGCAAAUUCUGAGGGCACAGGAGCGUCUGGUGGCCCUGAGCAGCUUGCUGGGGAAGCUCCGUGGAGGAGGAAGUCCCGAGGUCGGAUGAUAUCAAAACCCAAGUGCUUUUUUACCAAUCUGCUGAACAAGAUGUGACCCACUGAGCAGCCUCUGCAGUUCCAGCAGCAGCGAGUGUCGGGGUACGAGGCAGUUCCCAUCUGUGCUAGGUCAGCCACGGGCCCAGCUGACCAGAUUUGGUUCAUGGCCUCAUUCAUAACUGAACGAACGACACCUUUCUGCUAGAGGAACUUGCAGCUCUCUGGGGUUAGUUCUCCUCUGUGCUGUCUGGGCUGCACCUCCUGCCCAGGAGGGGCCUCUCUGUGCUCUAGCCCUUACCAGCAUCUCAGGAUCUGCAGUCCUGAUACUUGGAGGUCUCCCCCACCCCCAGCUUGAGGGCUGGCUUCCUUUCGGUGGUCUUCAAAUCAACUCACCCCCGGCCGUUGGAGAAGCCCGUGUGUCUGGCCAGGCCGGCUCCAUGGAUGUGUCCAGUGUCUUCAUGGAUGGUGGGAACCAGCUUUGAAACCCUGGCCACCCGGACCUCCGAAGCCAUACUUUCUGGGGUUCCUGCACAAGGGCAGUUCCAGUGCGGCUUCUACAGGACCCUGGCCAGCUCCUUGGUUGUCAGCCAUUGAGAGAGUGGUUGAAGGCUGGGUGGUUCUAGCCUCCCCUCGUGCCUCUGAUGAGGCUGGACCCUUCAAGUCUUCAUAUAUGCCCAAACUAUGGGAUUCUGACCACAAGGACUUGCUUGGAUUGUCUAGGCUGGAAGCUAUGUCCUCAGCUCACUGUGAGGGGCAGAGUCAGUCAGUAUGGAAACCGUGUUCAUCUAUUAAUAAUAAUAUAAUAAUAUAAUAUCAUGGGGCCUCUGUCUUAGAAAGGCUUUGCUCCUCACGAGGAAUUCUAUGCUUUUUCCCUAUGAUUGAGUAUUUUUUUUUUUGUGAUGGAGUCUCACUCUGUUGCCAGGCUGGAGUGCAGUGGCAUGAUCUCGGCUCGCUGCUAGCUCCGCCUCCUGGAUUCAAGCGAUUCUCCUGCCUCAGCCUCCUGAGUAGUUGGGAC